CGGGGGGCAGCAGUGGGGAAUAUUGGACAAUGGGCGAAAGCCUGAUCCAGCAAUGCCGCGUGAGUGAUGAAGGCCUUAGGGUUGUAAAGCUCUUUUACCCGGGAUGAUAAUGACAGUACCGGGAGAAUAAGCUCCGGCUAACUCCGUGCCAGCAGCCGCGGUAAUACGGAGGGAGCUAGCGUUAUUCGGAAUUACUGGGCGUAAAGCGCACGUAGGCGGCUUUGUAAGUAAGAGGUGAAAGCCCAGAGCUCAACUCUGGAAUUGCCUUUUAGACUGCAUCGCUUGAAUCAUGGAGAGGUCAGUGGAAUUCCGAGUGUAGAGGUGAAAUUCGUAGAUAUUCGGAAGAACACCAGUGGCGAAGGCGGCUGACUGGACAUGUAUUGACGCUGAGGUGCGAAAGCGUGGGGAGCAAACAGGAUUAGAUACCCCAGU
rnacentral:rRNA from 1 species